rnacentral:tRNA from 1 species
GUGGAUCUAGUUUAUCGGGUAAAACACCAGAUUGUGGUUCUAGAGAACAGGGUUCGAGUCCCGGGUUCACCCA